rnacentral:rRNA from 1 species
CCAAUAGCGUAUACUAAAGUUGUUGCAGUUAAAAAGCUCGUAGUUGAAUUUCGGGAUCAAUUUGCUGGUCGUGCCUUUGGUACGUACUGGUAUUACUGGUUUCUCCUUUCUGAAGAACUGCGAUGUCAUUUAUUUGGUGUUGUGGGAAAUCAGGACUGUUACUUUGAAAAAAUUAGAGUGUUUAAAGCAGGCUCACGCUUGAAUACAUUAGCAUGGAAUAAUGAAAUAGGACGUUUGAUUCUAUUUUGUUGGUUUCUAGGAUCGACGUAAUGAUUAAUAGGGAUAGCUGGGGGCAUUAGUAUUCAAUUGUCAGAGGUGAAAUUCUUGGAUUUAUUGAAGACUAACUACUGCGAAAGCAUUUGCCAAGGAUGUUUUCAUUAAUCAAGAACGAAAGUUAGGGGAUCGAAGACGAUCAGAUACCGUCGUAGUCUUAACCAUAAACUAUGCCGACUAGGGAUCGGAUGAUGUUAAUUUUUUAAUGACUCAUUCGGCGCCUUACG